AAAAUUAGCGCGGCCAGAGUCCAAAAUAUCUGCCCGGAACCACCCACCCCGCACCUUCUCCCUCCCCUUGCAGAUCUGUGCCCCUCCCCACCCGCUCUUCGCCGAUCGUGGUGACCUUGCCGUGCUGCCUGUGGUCACAGGACGGCCUCGCCCGUGGAGGUCGACCGGGCUGCGAACCUCACGUCAUGGUGACCGCGUCGUUCGCUGCCGAUUCAGUACAGCCCCCAAUAACCCCACCGCAACCGGCUUUCUCGCCGACCACCGCCACCGACGAGCGUCCUCCUCCCCGGUGGAGACCGUUCGCCGCUCCCUCCCCAACCUCCCACGUCCAGUGCCUGCUUCUUCGCUGACCAACGCCGCUGUCCACCACCUCCGCCAUCUGACAACCGGUGAGAUUUGACAGGUGAGACCCUUCGUCGCUUCCUCCCUCACGGAGACCCUUCGUCGUUUCCUCCCCAAACUCCUGCGCCCAGGACCUGAACAUUUGACCGGUGAGGUUUAUUUGCAUCCCUGUUCGUUUUGUUUUGCUGAGCAGUAACUAAAACGAUAUCAGCAAGUGUUUGAGUUUGUAUGACACUACAGUUGUGAAGUUAAUCAGUAGGUAACAAACAUGCUCGGAUAUUCCCUACUCCCUCCGUUCCUAAAUACUUGUCUUUCUAGAGAUUUUAACAAAUGACUACAUACAAAGUAAAAUGGUUGAAUCUACAUUCUAAAAUAUGUCUACAUACAUCCGUAUGUUGUAGUCCAUUUGAAUGUCUAGAAAGACAAAUAUUUAGGAACAGAGGGAGUAGAAUGUAUUUUUUCCAUCCGAGCCCAAGUUUUAUUUCUGGUGAAGAGAAGUUAGCAUACUAUGUCAUGAUACAAGUGAGGAAACAGUAAUAUAUGAAACAUUCUAGUAAAUAUAUGAACAAUGGCAGUGGAUACUUCUCAAUGACAUGGAUUCUAGUAAGUAUUAUCAGUUUAGGUAAUUCUCGUGGUCUUCUAGUAUUUGUGCAUCAGUAAUAUAAGCAACAUGUCAGUAAUCCCUUAGGAGUUAAACAAGAUGGGUGUAAACAAGUGGAUGCUACAAUUGAAUAAAAAAUCAGUGAAACCUAUACAUAGGCUGCAGCUGGGCCUUGUGGAUACAACAUGCCUUCUGUUGCUGGCAUACCAUUCUAAUCAGCUUAAUUCAACACUAUAGGCACUUCGUUUGCUUCCUGGUCUUAUGAUCACAAGUGUUUGCACUGUUGAUCUUGUGCAACAAUGUGCAAAGCCUCGUAAGUUCGCUUAUAAGACGAGCCCAACCUAUUCUAGCCAGGCUGCUAGGAUGCGGAUUGCGCGAUGGAAAUAAAUAUCUGUGUUGAUAAUUAAAUUCCUUUAUAACUGCUAGUUCUAGUUCAUUCUAUCAUAGAACACAAAGCAGGUCUCCCUAUUUUUCUCUAUUUUUCUAGGUUAAUCUGGGUUUAGUUUUGCAAAUCUACAGCAGUCAAUUCCUAAUCCCUUUUCCUCUGUUUCAAUUUCAUAGGAGUCAAGAUUUACAAUUCUGCAGCAGUCAAUUAAAAAGAAGGUAACAACAAUGCUAUGUGAUAUGGCAUUUUUGUGGUGAUUUUUAUGUGUCUAGAUGGAAUUAAAAUGCUACCAUGUGCUCAAUUUUUGUAUUGUGAAAGUCAUGCUAUCUUGUAAAAAUAGUAUGCUACAUAUAUUUAGGCAGUAGAUGUAUUUUUGAUUCAUGGUGUCCAUGAAAUCUUGUAGUCUUGUGUUACAUUCCGCGCAUAUGAAAAUCUGCAGCAAUUUGGUACAAGCACCACCCUGAAUCACAGUUUGAGGUGUUCCAUCUUAUUUUAUUGUCUCUCUAUAUCUUUCCCAAGCUUUUUUUGUCAUGCAUGCCCCUAUUUCUCGGUCCUUAAGCUUGUACAGCGAGUAUAUAUGUCAUUUUUGUUGCUUACAUUUUUUUUAAAAACUCUGAGGGUUUAAUUGAACCUUUAUAUAACAUAAGCUGGAGUUGCACGAGCACGGAAUUAUGGAUGUCAUUUCUUCUAUAAGUUUGCACAAUUGUCACUUCAUCUAGUUUUUUUGUUCAUUUUCAGUCUUAUCCCAGUUUAGUUUUUCUUUUUAAGUUUAAAUUUUCAGUUUGGGGUGUUGUCAAUUUAAUUCUCAGUCUUUGUCUCUAUCUAGCAUUUUCUCCGUCUUUAUUCAUUUAGUGCUUGUUGUCUUCAGCCCCAUAUCGCGGUGGCCAGGGGAAUAAGAAUCAUAUUUAGUAAUUCAUUUUCUUCAGUUUGGUCAGUAGUUUUAGUGUUAUGCGUCUUUUUCAUCAGUUUUGUCUGUAGUUUCAGUCAUGGAAUUUUGGCAUACCUUUAAAAGGAACAUGUGACUGGUUCUUCAUCGUCCUUGUUUGCUCGCAUUGGUAUUUCUUCAAAAAUGUAGAUGGGAUAAAAAGAUGAAAGGGGAGGAGGCCACGACGGCAAAGGCUAUUUAGGUCAUUUGGUGUGUUGCUGACUUCACUGCAUUUUUCGGAUGGUCCUCUCAAGACUUAGGAUCGACAACUUGAUGCAAGUGAUCAGUCGAUGUUUGGAGCGUAUACAUCUCAAAAGCCAACAUUGUGUUGUGUGUCCAGUUAAUUAACAUGCUGACUGAAUUGUUUUUCUGUAGAAACUCUAGUUGAUAUGUGAUCUAGUCCAUAGCAGAUUGUAAAUGUCGAUUGAAGUGUUUUCCUCAUUUAGCAACUUAAUCUAGCCUUUCUUUGGAUUGAUGGCUGGUAUGAAUACAUUGGAUGCUGAAUAUCUGCUGAUUUAUGAAUGAUUUGAGUUAUGACGUAUCCUA